rnacentral:tRNA from 1 species
GGAACCUAUGCCGAAUCGGAGAGGCACCUGACUUUUAAUCAGGACGAGGUGGGUUCGAUCCCCACAGGUUCCACCA